rnacentral:rRNA from 1 species
UGGGGGAAUUUUGGACAAUGGGCGAAAGCCUGAUCCAGCAAUGCCGCGUGUGUGAAGAAGGCCUUCGGGUUGUAAAGCACUUUUGUCCGGAAAGAAAUCCUUGGCUCUAAUACAGUCGGGGGAUGACGGUACCGGAAGAAUAAGCACCGGCUAACUACGUGCCAGCAGCCGCGGUAAUACGUAGGGUGCAAGCGUUAAUCGGAAUUACUGGGCGUAAAGCGUGCGCAGGCGGUUUGCUAAGACCGAUGUGAAAUCCCCGGGCUCAACCUGGGAACUGCAUUGGUGACUGGCAGGCUAGAGUAUGGCAGGAGGGGGGUAGAAUUCCACGUGUAGCAGUGAAAUGCGUAGAGAUGUGGAGGAAUACCGAUGGCGAAGGCAGCCCCCUGGGCCAAAUACUGACGCUCAUGCACGAAAGCGUGGGGAGCAAACAGGAUUAGAUACCCUGGUAGUCCACGCCCUAAACGAUGUCAACUAGUUGUUGGGGAUUCAUUUCCUUAGUAACGUAGCUAACGCGUGAAGUUGACCGCCUGGGGAGUACGGUCG